rnacentral:rRNA from 1 species
UCCAGACUCCUACGGGAGGCAGCAGUGGGGAAUAUUGCACAAUGGGGGAAACCCUGAUGCAGCGACGCCGCGUGAGUGAAGAAGUAUUUCGGUAUGUAAAGCUCUCUCAGCAGGGAAGAAAAUGACGGUACCUGACUAAGAAGCCCCGGCUAACUACGUGCCAGCAGCCGCGGUAAUACGUAGGGGGCAAGCGUUAUCCGGAUUUACUGGGUGUAAAGGGAGCGUAGACGGCGGGCCAAGUCUGAUGUGAAAGGCCGGGGCUCAACCCCGGGACUGCAUUGGAAACUGGCGUGCUGGAGUGCCGGAGGGGCAAGCGGAAUUCCUAGUGUAGCGGUGAAAUGCGU